UUCGGAGGAUGCAAGCGUUAUCCGGAAUGAUUGGGCGUAAAGGGUCCGCAGGUGGCAGUGUAAGUCUGCUGUCAAAGAAUGAGGCUUAACCUCAUCAAGGCAGUGGAAACUACACAGCUAGAGUACGGUCGGGGUAGAAGGAAUUCCUGGUGUAGCGGUGAAAUGCGUAGAGAUCAGGAAGAACACCGGUGGCGAAAGCGUUCUGCUAGACCUGUACUGACACUGAGGGACGAAAGCUAGGGGAGCGAAUGGG
rnacentral:rRNA from 1 species